CGCGUAGGUAACCUGCCUGGUAGCGGGGGGUAACUAUUGGAAACGAUAGCUAAUACCGCAUAAGAACAUUUACUGCAUGGUAGAUGUUUAAAAGGUGCAAAUGCAUCACUACCAGAUGGACCUGCGUUGUAUUAGCUAGUAGGUGAGGUAACGGCUCACCUAGGCGACGAUACAUAGCCGACCUGAGAGGGUGAUCGGCCACACUGGGACUGAGACACGGCCCAG
rnacentral:rRNA from 1 species